GUGGGAGGGGGCUUGCUCCCGAAGGCGGCAUGUCAUUCAGCAUUUAUUUAGCUGAUACACCGCAUUCGGGAGCAAGCCCCCUCCCAC
rnacentral:antisense_RNA from 1 species